UAUGGUCUCUUUAUUGCUAAAUUUGUAUUGGCUUGAUGGUCACUUUCUACGCCAACGUCUUUCCAAGUGAUCGCCCCCUCAUACAUUGGUUAUAUAUAUAUAUCAUCAUCAUCAUCAUCAUCAAGUAAAACGUAGUAUACUAUAAUAACUUCCUUUGUUCAGUCCUUCGUUGGAGCCAUACACCAAAAAAAAAAAAAAAAAAAAAAAAAUAGAAUGCAAAGCUUCUUCCACCUAUUCUUGUUUCACCAUAUGUUGUUUAUUCAUGAUUUGGCUCAUCAUGGUUUCACCUGUACUCUCUGUGAGGAAAUUAUCCACCACUCCCAGCAGCUACGGAGAUAGUCAUACGGGAGCAGGCAAACACAAAUAUAACCAUGCCGGAUCUGCUAUACCGUCAGGACCAAAAGUAUCAAAAGCACCUACAAAAGGUACUGGUACUACUGUCAUAGGCUACAACUCCAAAACUUUACAAGGAGGAAACGUCAAUAGAGGCUGUCGGCAGUAUGGAAAGUGUAGGCUGGGAAAGUGAAAAAAGCAAAGCAACUGGUUCACGUGUAUGUGGUGGAGAUAUAUAUAUAUAUAUAUAUAUAUAUAUAAGUGAUUCUUUGUAAUAUUUCACAUCCAAAUAAAAAGUUACUCCUUACGUGUU